rnacentral:rRNA from 1 species
AUUGAACGCUGGCGGCAUGCCUUACACAUGCAAGUCGAACGGCAGCACGGGUGCUUGCACCUGGUGGCGAGUGGCGAACGGGUGAGUAAUACAUCGGAACAUGUCCUGUAGUGGGGGAUAGCCCGGCGAAAGCCGGAUUAAUACCGCAUACGAUCUACGGAUGAAAGCGGGGGACCGUCGGGCCUCGCGCUAUAGGGUUGGCCGAUGGCUGAUUAGCUAGUUGGUGGGGUGAAGGCCUACCAAGGCGACGAUCAGUAGCUGGUCUGAGAGGACGACCAGCCACACUGGGACUGAGACACGGCCCAGACUCCUACGGGAGGCAGCAGUGGGGAAUUUUGGACAAUGGGCGAAAGCCUGAUCCAGCAAUGCCGCGUGUGUGAAGAAGGCCUUCGGGUUGUAAAGCACUUUUGUCCGGAAAGAAAUCCUUGGCUCUAAUACAGUCGGGGGAUGACGGUACCGGAAGAAUAAGCACCGGCUAACUACGUG